rnacentral:rRNA from 1 species
CCCUUAGAUGUUCUGGGCCGCACGCGCGCUACACUGAUGCAUUCAACAAGCCUAGCCUUGACCGAGAGGUCCGGGUAAUCUUUGAAACUGCAUCGUGAUGGGGCUAGAUUAUUGCAAUUAUUAAUCUUCAACGAGGAAUGCCUAGUAAGCGUGAUUCAUCAAAUCGCGUUGAUUACGUCCCUGCCCUUUGUACACACCGCCCGUCGCUCCUACCGAUUGAAUGUGUUGGUGAGGAGCUCGGAUUGGCAGCAGUUGGUGGUUCGCCACCGGCUAUUGCUGAGAAGUCCUCCAAACCGCCCCAUUUAGAGGAAGUAGAAGUCGUAACA